rfam:Felis catus isolate Cinnamon breed Abyssinian chromosome D1, whole genome shotgun sequence.
GCCUGCGUGGCUCAGUCGGUUAAGCGUCUGACUUCAGCUCAGGUUGUGAUCUUGUGGUUUGUGGGUUCGAGCCCUGCAUCAGGCU